GCGACGCUGCCGCCAUGAUCCUGCCGCCGGACUCGCUGCUGCGCUACCACACACCCGUGCUCGUCACCCGCCGCACCGAGAAGCGCUCCCCGAAGGUGAGAAGGGCCCAGCAAGACGUGGAGCCGAGGGUCGUGCUCCAUUCGCUCCUACGGUGCUCUGUUCUCUCCGCAGGCGUCUCCGCUGCAGGGAAGCCCGUUGCCGCCCGCCCCGACCGGGCCCGUCCCACCACCCGCCGUCGAGUCCGUGAAGCAGGCGCAAGAACUCCUCAACGCCAUCCUGCCGCCUCGGGAGUGGGAGGAGGAGAACCACCGAUGGGUGCAGGAGGUGUCCAGCGCUCCCGGCACCCGCCUGGACGUCGUUCAGCUCCAGGAGCAGUUGGACCUGAAGCUGCAGCAGCGGCAGGCGCGGGAGACCGGGAUCUGCCCGGUGCGCCGGGAGCUCUACUCGCAGUGCUUCGUGAGUCUCUCCGGCUCCCUUUCCCCCCCUCAGACGAGCUGAUCCGGCAGACCACCAUCGCCUGUGCCGAGCGUGGGCUGCUGCUGCUGCGCGUCAGGGACGAGCUGCAGAUGACGCUGGCUGCCUACCAGACGCUGUACGAGAGCAGCACAGCCUUUGGCCUGCGCAAGGCGCUGCAGGCUGAGCAAGGCAGGGCCGACAUGGAGAAAAGGAUUGCAGAGCUAGAAAAGGAAAAGCAGGAGCUGGAAAGACAAGUGAGUGAGCAGAAAGCACUUCGUGCAGCCACUGAAAGACGGGAAGAGGAAAAGCGGCAGAUAGAGGAAAAGAAACAUGCUGAGGAGGUUCAAGUCCUGAAAAAAAUUAAUCAGCAGCUGAAGGCCCAACUUGAAAGCAUCGUUGCAGCAAACAAGUAGAUUCUUUUUUGGGGGGGAGAGGUUACCCUCCAGGCAGUGCUCAAAAGAGCUGUCAGAGCAAGAAGGUUGCAAUUAAGAUUUGUCUUCGUAAUCUGAAAUCUUCACUUACCGCCUCUUUCCAUGCCCUUCUCAGCCUUCAGCUCAUUGAACAGUCAACCUGCCUGGGGCUUGCCUGGUAGCACUAUGUUAGAUGACCUUCAAAGUGAUAAACUAAUAAACAUUUCUUCCCAAA